GACAGAGGGUGCAAACGUUGUUCGGAAUUACUGGGCGUAAAGCGCGUGUAGGCAGUUUCGCAAGUCGGGUGUGAAAGCCCUGGGCUCAACCUAGGAAGUGCACUCGAAACUGCGAGACUUGAGUCCUGGAGAGGAAGGCGGAAUUCUCGGUGUAGAGGUGAAAUUCGUAGAUAUCGAGAGGAACACCGGUGGCGAAGGCGGCCAACUGGACGAAUACUGACGCUGAGACUCGAAAGCGUGGGGAGCAAACAGG
rnacentral:rRNA from 1 species